UAGUCAUAUGCUUGUCUCAAAGAUUAAGCCAUGCAUGUCUAAGUAUAAACAAGUUUUAUACUGUGAAACUGCGCACAGCUCAUUAUAUCAGCAAUAAUUUAUUUGAUGGUUACCUUACUACUUGGAUACCCGUGGUAAUUCUAGAGCUAAUACAUGCGUCAAGUCCUAACUCUAAGAGCUUGCUCUGGGGGAAGGAUGUAUUUAUUAGAUACAAAACCAAUAGGAAGGCUUCGGUCUUUCUUCUCUUUUGGUGAUUCAUAGUAACUGUUCGGAUCGC
rnacentral:rRNA from 1 species